CAGCCGCCGCGGGAAUACAGAGGAUGCAAGCGUUAUCCGGAAUGAUUGGGCGUAAAGCGUCUGUAGGUGGCUUUUCAAGUCCGCCGUCAAAUCCCAGGGCUCAACCCUGGACAGGCGGUGGAAAAUACCAAGCUGGAGUACGGUAGGGGCAGAGGGAAUUUCCGGUGGAGCGGUGAAAUGCGUUGAGAUUGGAAAGAACACCAACGGUGAAAGCACUCUGCUGGGCCGACACUGACACUGAGAGACGAAAGCUAGGGGAGCAAAUGGGAUUAGAUACCCCCGUAGUCCCUGUCUCUUAUAC
rnacentral:rRNA from 1 species